UGGGGAAUCUUCCGCAAUGGGCGAAAGCCUGACGGAGCAACGCCGCGUGAAUGAAGAAGGCCUUCGGGUCGUAAAGUUCUGUCUUUGGGGACGAAGGCUCUCGAUGUAAAUAAUGUCGGGAGAUGACGGUACCCGAGGAGGAAGCUCCGGCUAACUACGUGCCAGCAGCCGCGGUAAUACGUAGGGAGCAAGCGUUGUCCGGAAUUACUGGGCGUAAAGGGCGCGUAGGCGGGGAUUUAAGUCAGAUGUGAAAACUCCGGGCUCAACCUGGAGACUGCAUUUGAAACUGGAUUUCUUGAGGGCAGGAGAGGAAAGUGGAAUGCCUAGUGUAGCGGUGAAAUGCGUAGAUAUUAGGAGGAACACCAGUGGCGAAGGCGACUUUCUGGACUGUACCUGACGCUGAGGCGCGAAAGCGUGGGGAGCAAACG
rnacentral:rRNA from 1 species